AUGGUCGUGCGGUCGGGGACGGACGAGGAGAGGGCGGAGUGGACGAGGCGGACCGUCGCGGCGGUGGAGACGCUGGAGGGGGCCCUGGGGGAGCGCUCCGAGGGGGAGGGCCAGGGGUUCUUCGGCGGCGGCCGCGUCGGGUACGUCGACGUCCUGCUCGGCAGCAUGGUCCCGUGGGUGCGCGUCACCGAGAGGCUCUCCGGCCACAACUUCUUUGAUGCUGGCAAGGCCCCGCUGCUGGCGGCGUGGAUGGUGCGCUUCGGCGAGCUGGACGCUGCCAAGGCCGUCUUCCAGGACGUCGACCGCCUCGUCGAGUACGCCGGGACGAUCCAGGCACGGCUUGCCGCCGAGGCUGGAACUGCUAGCAACUGA
rnacentral:rRNA from 1 species